AUCAUCAGCAAAAUAAUUGAGAUUUUGGAAUAAAGUGAGUGGGAGAGAGAAAGGGGUAUGCUGUGAGCAUACACCUUCACAGUUCUUAAAUAAUACCUGUUCUGUAAUCAUGAUAUUCACUCAAGGCAUAGUGGUUUUUAAUCUCAAAACUCAGAGAACCCUUUGAAUUAUUUGCUUUUACAGGUAUAUAGUAUGAGUGAAAUAUGAACUGUGCACUUAAUUGUUACCCUGUUCAUAUAAUUUCAACUAGAUCAAGAUGUUAACCUUUUAUAAAUUUGAAGUCAAUAAAGCACGUUUUUUAAGGAAGCACUGAAAAUUUCCUUAACAGCCUGUUAAUAAGGGCUUUGUGAUAAGCUCUGAAAAAAUACAUUUCUAAAUAGGAUACCAAGGUACUGAUGACGACGAGAAAAAACUAGUACUUAGUUGCCAUUCUCAUGCUUACAUAGAAACAGAGCCGAGGAAUAUUAGAUUUCCUCAUGAUAUAAGGUAAUCCAAGACUGCGAAUCAACAUGUUAGCCACAUAUUAGAGGAAUUCCUUUUAUAUGCCUCCCCUGUGAUUGAGUUAAAAUUCUUAGAUUAUAUCCAGACAUCCAGCAUGAAUUGUCAUGGCUUCCUGGGUACCAGGCAUGUCAAGCUUUUCUAUGGUAACAGGUUUUAAUUUAGGAUCCUUAAAUAGAUUUUGGGGUAUUAUUUGUGAUUCUCCUGAAAUAGUAAACUUGGGUUUGUUUGUCCAGUUUUCUAAUGAGUAGGUUUGUAACUUGAUUGAAUUAACCAUGAGCCCAUAGCCACAAGCAAAGUGAGAAGCAGUGCUCUGGUGACAUGAUAAAUAGAUUUGUUAACCACCGUUUCAACUAUUAAAAACUGCUGUUCUCUCCUUGUUUGAAUUUCAGGUCACUAAACUGUAUAACCGUCAUUUGAAUUGUAGUGGCUCUGAGUCCUCAUUAGAAGGGUGACUGAAUGAUGCUAAAGCCUACCCUGUUUCUCAACUAGGAUUCAAACUGAUGUAACUACUCCAGUUUUUUGUACUCUCAGAUGUUCAAAGCAGCACCAGUCUUAAUAGCCAACAAGUGAGAGCAACUCAAAAGUCAAUCCAACUGAUGAAUGGAUAAGUAGAAUAUAUCUACACAAUGGAAUAUUAUUCAGCCAUAAAAAGAAUACAUGCUAUAAAAUGUAUGAACUUUGGAAACAUUAAAGGAGCAAGGUUUACACAUUAAAUGAUUACACAAGGUUUACAUAUUAAAUGAUUCCAUUUAUGUGAAAUGUCCAGAGGCAAAUCCAGAGACAAAAACAUUAGUGUUUGGCAGGCAUGAAUGGGGAGUGACUAUUAACAGGUUUUCUGAGAUGAUGAAAUUUUCUAAAAUGAAAAUGUGGCAAUGGCUGUACAACUCAGAUACACUAAAAACCAGUAACUAUGAAACUCACUAUGAAAGUAAAUUUCAUGGUAUGCAGAUUAUUGGUUUAAAAAGUUCUUUUUUAAAUCACCACUGAUUUCUAUCCAAAGCUCUCAAAAACAAUCUUUGGAACUUAGUUAUGCUAUUUCUAAUGAACAUUCCUUAAGUUAUUGAGUGACUGCUAUGCAUAGAAAUAUUGCAUGCUAGACACUGAAGACAUAAGGUGAAUUUAAAAUUUUAAUACCUGCCUUUAAGGAAGUCUAGGAAACACUACAUAGCAGUUCUUGUGGUAUUCUGUAUGGCUUAUUUAACAAUCUUCAUCAUUUUACAAAAGUAGACAUUAACUUCCCCAAGUGAACUGACAAAGUAAGUGACAGAUCCAAGACUUGAACCUAGCAGCUAGGCUUCAGUGCAAGCACUUAUUCCUACUAUGCUUUACAAAAUAAAACAUAAACUACUUUAUGACCACAUUUUUAAAAAUAAAAGUUGAUGCAGAGGGAGACACCAAUCAAGAUGAAUAAGAUGUUGAUACAUGGGACAGACAAGUUUUCAGAAGUAAAACUUGAAACGUAACUCUUAGACCAUUUCUUCUUAAUACCAACCCCACUUAACAGUGAUACCUAUGAGGAAAAAAGGGAUAAUGAAAAACUUUAACUUUCUACAUAUUAUCUUUUCAGUGUUUGAAUUUUUUUACAGUAUUACUUGACAAGUUAAAUUCAAAAGCUUAACCUAAAAUGUCUCAUAAGUUUAGAAUAUACUUGGAAAUUUGAACUGCCUAUUCACUCAAAUGUACAUUUUCUGCUCAAUUUUUAUGCACCUGCUUUGAAGGAUUUCCAUUCUACACAGAAAAAUUGGUAUACUGGUGCUCCUUAGAUUUCACAUUCUUCAGUUCUCUUUAGCAGAAACUACUUCCCACCCAUAAACUCAUAGCAGACAGUUAACUAGCACCUUCAGCCUUGUGACAAAGAUACUUCAGAAUAGAUCAGGUCCAGAUAUCUGGAAGGAAGCAAUCAGUAUUAUAGCAUAUAAGAUGAAGUGUGACCCAAAAGAAUGACUUCAGUUGAAAUCUAUCACAGAGUACAUUCUUUUAAGGAAAAGUAUAUAGUGGAGAUAGUAUGGGGAGAGUCAUGGUUCAUAUUUUACCUCUUUUCCUCUCUGUUGUUCACUAUUACAAAGGAAUGUUCCGAAUAAGCAGCUGUAUAGGUGAUCCAAAAUGGUAAUGAGAAAAUACUCAUUGAAUUCAAAUGCGGUAGGAAACUGCAAAUUGAACAUCACAAACAUAAAUUUAGACACUCUGUAAGCAUAUUCAUUCCUGUCAUGGGUACAUCCUUUAAGUUAAACAUUCAAAUCUACCUUAUUCCAAACCAUUAGGGCAUUAUCUGUAUGGUUUUCUUUUCAAAAAUUGCUUUAUUACUUUUCUGACCAUGUUGUUUCUGUAUAUGCUGUAUCUGCCAACCCUACACUUGCAGGCUGAAUUUUGACUUAGGCAAUUCUAGGCAUUCUCUGCCAAAAAUGACCACAAACAUUAAGACUCUAAAUUUUCAACAACAUAGUUGAUUUUCUUUUUUAAGGAUUACCAAAAAAAAAAAAAAAUGCCAAUAAUGUUCUCCAGAAAAUGUCAGCAAUACCGUAAAGUAAACAUUUAAGUAAGGCAGAUAAUUUACAAGUCAACCAGCCUAUUACAUAUUUAGGUUGGUGCAAAAGUAAUUGCAGCUUUUGCCACUGAAAGGGCAAUUACUUUUGCACCGACCUAAACUUUUCCCGGACCACCCAUCCCAUCAAACCAGAGUUCCUUGUAAGCUACUAUUUUGGCUGCAUCUAACAAAAAGAAAAUUCACUCUCUAACCCAAGCCAGGGACUUGACUGGAUGUUAGUUUUACACAAGUAACACAAUUUUGGGGGACUAAUCAAAUGAAAAAUUACAAACCCCUGAAAGUCAGAAGGUUUAGUUUAAUCCAUCUUAUCUAAUAUUUCAGAAUUAUUUGGAAGCUUCCAUGUAAGAUUCUACCAAUUGUAGGGCUGUGUGUGAUAAAUUCUAUAAAUACUUGGAUUGCAGACUAUGAAAAUACACAUUGCUUCCAAAUUUUUAUUUCUUAGAAAGAUCCCUUCCUUUAUAGUGGAGGAAAACAGUAUGAACAGCAUGUAAAUGGAAUAAGGAUGAAAAGAGCUUUGCCUUGAAGUUUCCUAAAAUUUAGCAAGUAUACACAGGGUAACAUGACAGAUUUCUUAAACAAGAAAGGGCACUUAAUUAGGCCUUGAAUAAUUUUUGUGGCUGUGAAGCUGAAUGAAACAGAUGAUCAAGCAGAAGAUGAUCAAGCAUUGCCACAACAAAAAGCCAAUUGUAAGAAACUUUGUCGAAUCCCAUUUAUUCCUUUAAAAAAUAAGUCCCAUCUCCUGUAUUUGUUCAUACUCUUAACAGCCUUAUUAUUAGCCAAAUAUGCAUGCAUCCUGAAUCAUUAAAUAGCAAUCUCAAGGAUCUAAGCCUGCGAUUAAUUUUUCAUCUUCUUGGCAAAACUAUUAGCUCAGUUAUGAGAAGACAGCUUAAUCAGUAGGCAUUUCCUCACAAAGAAACUAAAAUAGCAGGGCAUUAACUGCAGCUAUUGCUUUUAAAAUUAUAAGCAGAAGAGAACUAUUUUGUUUACAUGCUUAAAAUCUAAAAGGCCCUUCAACAAGUGCUUCCUGAUUUCAGGACUGAGGUGACAGAUGAGGAUGGAAAUAGGAAGAGAGGUAUGGAAUCUGGCUAUCAUAACAUAAUUGGUUCUGUUUUGACAAAUGUGCUAUUCAAGUCUCUGUACUAGUAUUCAAGUAUUUAUAAAACUGAUGAUUGCUAACACACAUUAUGACAAGUUAAUAUGCUUUAUGUUCCGGAAGAAAAUAUACAGAAAAACAUAGGUGUAUAAAAUACAGAUGGCUAUAAAGUAUUUUAGGUUCUAUCAAAAAUACAGAUUUAAACUGAUUUUCUUUGAUUUAGUGCCAGGCUCCAAAUUAAACUGCUUUUAAAUAUAGAGCAUAUAAAAAGUUAAAAAAAUUAAAAUUACUAAGGAAGAAAUGUAUUAGAAUGUAUUCUCCCAUCCAAGUGCUAACAACGCCCAACCUUGCUUUGCUUCCAAAAUCAGAUGAGAUGGACACAUUCAGCGUGAUUGGCUGUAGAUUAUCAUAUACUCUUCUUUGCAAGAGUAAACUGGUAACUGGUAAAUGUGCGUUUUUUUUAGUAAAUGUGGUUUUUUUUCUAACACAUCAGAACUAAUAUAUUCAAGCACAUUAUUUCCUUCAAGGUACUCACCUUGGAAAGCAGUACACACAACCAUCGACAAAAUACCAGGUUUCAAAGUGCUUUCCUACUCCUUUGAUGGCGAAGUUAAUUUUUGCCAAUAGUCAAAGGUUAUUUAAAACUGAACAUGGUAAUAGUCAAAAGUGAGGUCCUAGGGUUUUGGGUCAUAUAUUCAAAAAGGAUUGGGAGAGACUUAUGUAGUUGAAAUACUGUCUCAAAGGCAAUUCCAAAGGAAAAGUCAAACAUAAUACAUCGAAAGUAUUAAACAUCGUUAAACUAAGUAUAUAGCACCUUUCCUUCCUCCUACCACACAACACACCAAAGGUUUGAUAAAACAAAACUGAAUUGCACACACAUUUUCAGUAUACAUGCUGAAAUACUAGUCUCAUAUUGUAGUCAUAUCUACGAAAUGCUUCAUUUAACCCAACAUGUUUCUAAAUAAUUCACCCAAGUAGAAAUGCUUAUGGAGGCAGGGGACUAUUAAGUAUAGAAUUGAUUAUUAUUUCCCCUGAUGAUUACCAUUAAUUUUCUUUUAUUUAAAUAAAUAGCAUUUUACUGAAGCUAAAAAUAUGUUCCUAAAUAAAUAUGAUCCAAAGCCAAGUAGAGCCAGCACUUGCUCUACUUUAAAUUCAUGUGGCAAUCGAAGUAAAAACAAUUCAGACUUCCAGCUGUUUUGGGGUCUAAUAAACCCUUGGAUAAAUAAUGAACUUACUUCCUAAUAUAAGCUGCAUUCAACUGGGUUUUGAGAUCAUUUUUCUCGAGUUAGUAUUAAAUCAUAUUUUUAAGCCAGUGACCCUUUGCCUCAUUAAUAAAGUGAUCCCAUCAUAAACGAGGUGUUUUCUGUCUCCUCUGUUCUUUCCAAAAUAUUAAAUUCAUUUAUAUUAAUAUUUCAAGUUAAUUAUUAGAAGUUCUAAAAAUCAUAAUAGUUCUCUCCAUGCUAAAAAAAAAUUUUAAGAACUAAAUGUAAUAUGCGCCUACCUUGUUACACUUUCUAAAUAUUUUUCCCUUAAAAAUUUUCAGAAGGAACAGAUUGCGAUGAAACAAAAUAACAGUUAAAGUUACUUAAAAGAUUUUGUUUUGCUUGUGUUAUCUAGCUUAUUUUUCUUCACUCUCAGCAAUACAAAAAUGGCUACUAGAAAACUUCUCAGGAGUUACUAUCAAUGCUACUCAUUGAAAUGCUAAUAGAAUCAAAUUGUCAAGUGUUUAAUAAUACCCCCAAAUAACAACCUUUAA